GUGCCCCUGUUAGGCGGAGCAUUUUGUGCCUGCACGUGGCACUUCUUUUACAACUCCGAGUCCCUUGAGAUAAGUAGAUGAAUUCUUAUUGUUCCUUUAAAGUAGGAAUUUCUACCAUGUUUGAUGAAUAUCAGGAGGUAUGAAAAAACAAAAACAAUUUAUGAGAUAAAAAGAAAGAAAAAUUGAUAUAUGAUCAAUUACAGAAACUUUCCAGAAAUUCAAUGAUAACCUCAUAAACUGCUCCACCCCCAGGGCUUAGUUCAAGUGUCAAGGGACUUGUGACUAGGUCACAAGACUAAGCCUCGUAUUUAUGUGGAAAAGGAUUGACUGGCGGGCCCAUUAUCCCCGAGUUUUGAAGGCUGCGAUUGGUCCUAAGCUUUGGCCCCAGACAGAUUUCUCUGUCAUAAAACAAAAUUAAAAAAAAAAAACUACUUGCCAGCUCUCGAUUUCUAUUUGCCUGCUUUAGCCUUAACUUAUCUGUGAAUUUGGAAGAGCUGGGGGUCCUGUCCUCGUAUAGUGACAUAUUUUAAGUGAAACGGAAAUUUAACUAUUGGUUAUACAUAGUUACACACCUUCGACUAUUGAUCUAAUACGAAGUGCUGUGAUAAACUUGAAAACUGUUGAAGUAUGAAGAGGAGAGUGGAGCAGAACCAAGAAGAAGGAAUAAUAGACUAGUUACUUUUCUGUUGUAUACACUCAGUUGCACAAGUACUAACGGCUAGUUAGUUAGUCCAUUCACUAGCCUAUAAAUGUAGAUGCCUAUGUACAUUGAAAGAUGAUGAAUACAACAGAAACUACUCACUCUCUAAUAAUCUCUCUCCUUACCUCAUACUUCUUCUUCUUCUUCUUCCUCUCAAUCUGUUCUUCAUCUGUUAUUCAUCUAAAGUUACUGCUAUCAAGUAGUAUAGCAGUGCAUGGCUAAUGACAUGGUGUCAGAGCUUUACUCACUAGCAAACUAGUAGAGCAAGAUCGAUUCUGGUGUAUUAGUUUCUUCACGGAAAAAUCAAAGAAUCUUGAAUCAAGAAUUGAAGGUUUGCAACAAUGGUGAAUCAAAAUGCUUUUGUUGAUCCUGCUGUGGGUUCCAGAGUUACUCCAAGUACCUUGGAUUACAAUCAUCCUCUCUUGUCCUUCUGAUGUGAGUGGCAUACAAAUCAUUUCUUUUCAGUUAACAGGAGUUGAGAACUUCUCAAUCUUGUUUAGAUUCAUGUGCAUUGCUUUACUAGGGAGAAAUAAGCUGGGCAUGGUUGAUGCAACAUGCUCUAAAGACAAGUUCUCUAUUGAAUUAAGCAGUCAUUGGGAGAGAGUGAAUGCAAUUGUACUUUCAUGGAUCAUGAAUUCUGUUUCUAAAGAGUUGGAGGAAUUAUGUAUGCAUCUAUGGCUAGUGCUGUCUGGAAUGAACUGUUUGAAAGGUUUAACUAAGUGUAUGGGGCCAGAUGAUUCAACCUGCACAAGGAGAUUGCUAUAUUGUCUCAAGGUACAGCCUCAGUAUCUGUGUAUUUCUCAAGACUUACCUGAAUGUGAAUGUAAUAAAUCAAAGGAGUACUACAUUUGCAAAAACUGAAGCUGUUACAGUUUCUUAUGGGUCUAAAUGAGUCCUACACACAAGCAAGGAGUCAAAUCUUGCUUAUGACCCCUCUCCCAAAUGUUAACCAAGCUUAUGCAAUGAUAGUAAGUGAUGAAAGUCACAAAUCUAUUGCAAGUCAGGUAGGGAUUCUGGGUAUGAAUCCUGCAACUAAUGGGAAGAAUCUUAAUCUAGCCAUGUAUGCAAGAAAUGGAGCAGGUGGAAGCCAAGGCCAAAAGUACAAAAGAAAUGCCACUGUGCAAUGUGAUUUCUGUAAACUUAAAAGGGCAUACUAAAGAGAACUGCCGGAAAUUGGUUGGUUAUCCUCAAGACUAUAAGGCUAAGAAGAAGCUCAGGCAUGAAGGGUCAAACACAACCUAUAAUGUGUCUUUGAGUUCUCAUGACUAUCCAGUGGAUCAAAAUGGUUACGACACUAAAGAUGCAGGACAAUCAGUAACUGUAAGUAGUCAGAUGACUCAACUAAGUCAUCUUGGAAAUGCAGCCUUUACAAAGGAGCAAUAUGAGCAAAUCUUGCAACUGAUAAACAAGAAUAACUCUGUCAACUGUCAACACAUCCAUUGAGUCUGCCAAUGUAACAAGUGCAGGAUCUUUAUACUGGAAAGGUGAAGGGGAUUGGGAAGCUUGAUGGAGGCUUAUAUAUACUAGAAGAUCAGUCAAAGAAUAAAGUUGCAGUAGCAACUAAAGCAACUACUGAAGUAACUAUGGAAAAGACAUAAGCUGAAGUGGAUUUGUGGCACCAAAGGUUGGGACAUGCUUCAACUGGUGUGUUGAAAAGGAUUGUAGAUCAAGGAGUACAAGUCAUAGAAGAUAGAAUAAAGCAAUGUAGCAUUUGUCCUAGAGCUAAACAGACUAGAUUACCAUUUUUGUCAACUAAUAUUCAAAGUACUUGUUAUUUUGAUCUUGUGCACAUGGAUUUGUGGGGACCAUACAAAGUGCCAACCAUGAAUGGUAACAAAUAUUUUCUUAUAGUUGAUGAUGAUUUUUCAAGGUUUA